GGAAUCUUCCACAAUGGACGAAAGCCUGAUGGAGCAACGCCGCGUGUGUGAUGAAGGGUUUCGGCUCGUAAAACACUGUUGUAAGAGAAGAAUGACAUUGAGAGUAACUGUUCAAUGUGUGACGGUAUCUUACCAGAAAGGAACGGCUAAAUACGUGCCAG
rnacentral:rRNA from 1 species